rnacentral:rRNA from 1 species
UACGGAGGGUGCUAGCGUUGUUCGGAAUUACUGGGCGUAAAGAGCGUGUAGGCGGCCAAGCAGGUCCGUUGUGAAAACUGGAGGCUUAACCUCCAGACGUCGACGGAAACCGCGCGGCUAGAGUCCGGAAGAGGAGAGUGGAAUUCCUGGUGUAGCGGUGAAAUGCGCAGAUAUCAGGAAGAACACCAAUGGCGAAGGCAGCUCUCUGGGACGGUACUGACGCUGAGACGCGAAAGCGUGGGGAGCGAACAGG